rnacentral:rRNA from 1 species
UACGGAGGGUGCAGGCGUUGUCCGGAAUCACUGGGCGUAAAGGGCGCGUAGGCGGCCCGGUAAGUAGGGGGUGAAAUCCUGCGGCUUAACCGCAGGGCUGCCUUCUAAACUGUCGGGCUCGAGCACGGUAGAGGCAGAUGGAAUUCCCGGUGUAGCGGUGGAAUGCGUAGAGAUCGGGAAGAACAUCAGUGGCGAAGGCAGCCCCCUGGGUCAAGAUUGACGCUCAUGCACGAAAGCGUGGGGAGCAAACAGG